GCUCCCGUGGUCUAGCCUGGAUAGAUUAUUUGAGGAAUUAAAUAAUCCCAGUAAGGACGCGAGCUUGCGGAGCUCGUAGCCCGGGUUCAAAUCCCGGCGGGAGCA
rnacentral:tRNA from 1 species